AGAGUGGUACAGGUGCCAUUCACCAAGCCCAAUGUCCAGUCUCAAGUGAGCUGUGAGGUAAAGCCCAGAUUAUCCACACGGUUGCAGACCUUGAAGCCUCAGAGGGAUGCAACGAACAAUUCCCCAUCAAGCAGAGAAAGCUGAUUGUUAAACAUUGACCAGCACACCACUAGCCCAGCCCCACUGGUUACAGAGUAUAGCCGAGACUUCUGGGGUCCACUGACUAUGGCUGCCCCAAAACCUUUCCUGGCUGAGAAAACUCAACCAUACAAUCUCCUCUUGACCGUAGUCUUUCUGGGAUGGAAGAUCCUGCUUCUGGUGGCCCUUUCUGCCCACUGCAUCUUCAGGAGAAGCCUGCUGUGACUGGUGAGAAGAGGCAGGAGCUUUUGGAAAGGAUGACCUUUGUGAUGAAACAGGACAGAGGAGGACUUUGGCCUCAACCUUGGAACGUU